ACAACCCGGGAUUGCCUUAGUAACGGCGAGUGAAGCGGCAAAAGCUCAAAUUUGAAAUCUGGUACCUUCGGUGCCCGAGUUGUAAUUUGGAGAGGGCAACUUUGGGGCCGUUCCUUGUCUAUGUUCCUUGGAACAGGACGUCAUAGAGGGUGAGAAUCCCGUGUGGCGAGGAGUGCGGUUCUUUGUAAAGUGCCUUCGAAGAGUCGAGUUGUUUGGGAAUGCAGCUCUAAGUGGGUGGUAAAUUCCAUCUAAAGCUAAAUAUUGGCGAGAGACCGAUAGCGAACAAGUACAGUGAUGGAAAGAUGAAAAGAACUUUGAAAAGAGAGUGAAAAAGUACGUGAAAUUGUUGAAAGGGAAGGGCAUUUGAUCAGACAUGGUGUUUUGUGCCCUCUGCUCCUUGUGGGUAGGGGAAUCUCGCAUUUCACUGGGCCAGCAUCAGUUUUGGUGGCAGGAUAAAUCCAUAGGAAUGUAGCUUGCCUCGGUAAGUAUUAUAGCCUGUGGGAAUACUGCCAGCUGGGACUGAGGACUGCGACGUAAGUCAAGGAUGCUGGCAUAAUGGUUAUAUGCCGCCCGUCUUGAACCACGGACCA
rnacentral:rRNA from 1 species